AUCACGGCUCAGGAUGAACGCUAGCUACAGGCUUAACACAUGCAAGUCGAGGGGCAGCAUGAACUUAGCUUGCUAAGUUUGAUGGCGACCGGCGCACGGGUGAGUAACACGUAUCCAACCUGCCGAUGACUCGGGGAUAGCCUUUCGAAAGAAAGAUUAAUACCCGAUGGCAUAGUUCUUCCGCAUGGUGGAACUAUUAAAGAAUUUCGGUCAUCGAUGGGGAUGCGUUCCAUUAGGUUG
rnacentral:rRNA from 1 species